rnacentral:rRNA from 1 species
CAGCCGCCGCGGGAAUACGUAGGUGGCAAGCGUUGUCCGGAAUUAUUGGGCGUAAAGGGCUCGCAGGCGGUUUCUUAAGUCUGAUGUGAAGGCCCCCGGCUCAACCGGGGAGGGUCAUUGGAAACUGGGAAACUUGAGUGCAGAAGAGGAGAGUGGAAUUCCACGUGUAGCGGUGAAAUGCGUAGAGAUGUGGAGGAACACCAGCGGCGAAGGCGACUCUCUGGUCUGUAACUGACGCUGAGGAGCGAAAGCGUGGGGAGCGAACAGGAUUAGAUACCCGUGUAGUCCCUGACUCUUAUAU